rnacentral:rRNA from 1 species
UACGUAGGGUGCGAGCGUUGCCCGGAUUUAUUGGGCGUAAAGGGCGCGUAGGCGGCCACGCACGUCCGUUGUGAAAUCGCCCGGCUCAACUGGGCGGGGUCAGCGGAUACGGUGUGGCUCGAGCAAGCUAGGGGGCAAUGGAAUUCCCGGUGUAGUGGUGGAAUGCGUAGAUAUCGGGGAGGAACACCCAGUGGCGAAGG